rnacentral:rRNA from 1 species
UUACUGAAUCAUAGAAUUUCUUUAAAUUCAUGAUGUCGUAAGGGAAAAUAAUGAUAUUACCUUACUAUGAGUGUCGUCCAAAGCUGGUGCCAGAAGACUCGGUAAGACCAGAGACGCAAACGUUAAUCAUCUUAAACAGGCGUAAAGGGUUUGUAGGCAGCUUUCAUAAUAUUAUUUCUUACAAAAAUAAAGAAGUGGUCUGAUUGAAAGCUAGAAUCAAAAAGAGGUUAUAGUGUAUAACGCCUAGAGGAGGGCUGAUAUCCUUAGAUCCUAGGCAGAAUACUUAGGGCGAAGGCCACUCUCCACUAAUGAUUGACGCUGAGAAACGAAGGUAAGGGUAGGAAAUAGGAUUAGAUACCCCGGUACUCCUUUCUGUAAACGAUGAAUGGUAGUCAUUAGUAAAAUUAACUAGAGACGAAGUUAACACAAUAACCAUUCCGCCUUGUGAGUACUACUGCAAAGUAGAAAACAAAAAAAUUAGUCGGUCUCGAAGCAAACGGAGUGAAGCAUGUUAUUUAU